AAAAUAAUAAUUACAGAAAAAAGAAUUAAAAAUAUAUAUAUUUUUAACAUUGUCAACAAAACAAUAAAUCCUAAAUCCUAAUCCCUAAACCCUAAAUCCUAAACCCUAAACCCUUGGGUAAAUCCUAAACCCUUGGGUAAACCGUAAAUCCUUGGAUAAAUCCUAAACUCUAAAUAAAAAAAAACACUAAAACUCUAAACCCUAAACCCUUGAGUGUUUUAGUGUUUUAGGGUUUAAGAUUUAAUGUUAUGCUGACGACAUAAAAUAUUUUUUUUUGUAAUUACUACUAUUUUUUUUUACCUUUUAAUUUUAAAAACAUAAUAUAAUUUGACAAUAUUUUGUUUCCUUUUUUAAAAGAUAUCGAAUAUAAAAUAAAACAAUUCUAUUGGUUGGUGAACUUAGAGGUUCAUCCUAGGGAGUGAACCUAAUAAUAAGUCUUAGAUUAAUAUACCGAGAACUAUAUCUCGAUGUUGGAGCUUGAGGGUAUUUAAUAUAAAAUGUUGAUUUGCUCUAUCUUUUUUAUACGGAAAUAAUUAGAUGUAUAUCCUAAAAUGCUAUCAAAUCAAAGUUUUAAUUCUAAACUAGGUGACCGGUCCGCACCCUGUGUUCUCUCUCGGCAUGUAUCUCACGAGAGAGAACACAGUAACGUCAGUAUGAAGAAGCAGAUAUUGUGUGUAUGUAUAAUUGCAACGUCACAAAAUAUUUUGUAUGUUUACGAAGAUACUUUCAUUCAAAAAAUAGAAUAAAUAGUGUAUAGUUUUAGAAGUAACAGAUUUUAUAUUACCAUUAAUUUGAAUUGUAUUGUAUAUGA
rnacentral:lncRNA from 1 species